CAGAAACUUAAAGGAAUUGACGGGGCCCGCACAAGCGGUGGAGCAUGUGGUUUAAUCGAUGAUACGCGAGGACCUUACCUGGGCUCAAAUGUAUGUUGACGUAUUCUGAAAGGGAUACUUCUUCGGACAAUAUACAAGGUGCUGCAUGGUUGUCGUCAGCUCGUGCCGUGAGGUGUCGGGUUAAGUCCCAUAACGAGCGCAACCCCUAUCAUUAGUUGCCAUCAGGUCAAGCUGGGGACUCUAAUGAAACUGCCUACGCAAGUAGUGAGGAAGGUGGGGAUGACGUCAAAUCAGCACGGCCCUUACGUCCAGGGCUACACACGUGCUACAAUGGCCGGUACAAAGGGCAGCUACCUGGUGACAGGAUGCUAAUCUCAAAAGCCGGUCUCAGUUCGGAUCGGAGUCUGCAACCCGACUCCGUGAAGCUGGAAUCGCUAGUAAUCGCGCAUCAGCCAUGGCGCGGUGAAUACGUUCCCGGGCCUU
rnacentral:rRNA from 1 species